GCGGCUUAAUUUGACUCAACGCGGGGUAAUUUACCAGGUAUAACAUGAUAUAAUAUUUUAUCAUGAUAGUGGUGCAUUGCCGUUUCCAAUGGAUGCUGUGAAGUAAUGAUUAAUUUCAACAAGAUGUGAGACCCUCAUUUAGACAGAUGUAGUGAUACAUAUGAAGGAGAGGAUUAAAACAGGUCCGUUAUGCCCUAAGAUAAUCUGGGUUGCACGCGCAAUACAAUAAUAUUUGAUAUUAUAAGGGAUAAUAUAAUGUAAGAUAUAUUUGAACAUGGAAUUGCUAGUAAAUUUUAUUUAAUAAGUAGAAUUGAAUGAGUCCCUGUUCUUUGUACACACCGCCCGUCGCUAUCUAAGAUGGUAUUAUCUAUGAACAAAUUUAUAAAGUGAAUAGAUAGUACUAGAUCUGAUAUAAGUCGUAACAUGGUUGCUGUUGGAGAACCAUUAGCAGGAUCAUAA
rnacentral:rRNA from 1 species